rnacentral:rRNA from 1 species
AACGAACGCUGGCGGCAUGCCUAACACAUGCAAGUCGAACGAGACCUUCGGGUCUAGUGGCGCACGGGUGCGUAACGCGUGGGAACCUGCCCUUAGGUUCGGAAUAACUCCCCGAAAGGGGUGCUAAUACCGGUUAAUGUCUUCGGACCAAAGAUUUAUCGCCUUUGGAUGGGCCCGCGUUGGAUUAGCUAGUUGGUAGGGUAAAAGCCUACCAAGGCGACGAUCCAUAGCUGGUCGGAUAGGAUGAUCAGCCGCACUGGGACUGCGACACGGCCCAGACUCCUACGGGAGGGAGCAGUGGGGAAUAUUGGACGAUGGGCCAAAGUCUGAUCCAGCAAUGCCGCGUGAGUGAUGAAGGCCUUAGGGUUGUAAAGCUCUUUUACCCGGGAUGAUAAUGACAGUACCGGGAGAAUAAGCUCCGGCUAACUCCGUG